rnacentral:rRNA from 1 species
AACGAACGCUGGCGGCAUGCCUAACACAUGCAAGUCGAACGAGACCUUCGGGUCUAGUGGCGCACGGGUGCGUAACGCGUGGGAAUCUGCCCUUGGGUCCGGAAUAACUCAGAGAAAUUUGAGCUAAUACCGGAUGAUGACGUAAGUCCAAAGAUUUAUCGCCCAGGGAUGAGCCCGCGUAGGAUUAGCUAGUUGGUGAGGUAAAGGCUCACCAAGGCGACGAUCCUUAGCUGGUCUGAGAGGAUGAUCAGCCACACUGGGACUGAGACACGGCCCAGACUCCUACGGGAGGCAGCAGUGGGGAAUAUUGGACAAUGGGCGAAGCCUGAUCCAGCAAUGCCGCGUGAGUGAUGAAGGCCUUAGGGUUGUAAAGCUCUUUUACCCGGGAUGAUAAUGACAGUACCGGGAGAAUAAGCCCCGGCUAACUCCGUGCCAGCCGCCGCCGUAA